rnacentral:rRNA from 1 species
UCAGGAUGAACGCUAGCGACAGGCCUAACACAUGCAAGUCAGGGGCAGCACAAGGAGCAAUCUGAGGUGGCGACCGGCGCACGGGUGAGUAACACGUAUGCAACCUGCCUGUAAGCGGGGAAUAACCCGUUGAAAGACGGACUAAUACCGCAUAAUACUAAAUUACUGCAUGGUAAUUUAUUUAAACAUUUAUGGCUUGCAGAUGGGCAUGCGCAUGAUUAGCUAGUUGGAGAGGUAACGGCUCCCCAAGGCAACGAUCAUUAGGGGUUCUGAGAGGAAGGUCCCCCACACUGGUACUGAGACACGGACCAGACUCCUACGGGAGGCAGCAGUGAGGAAUAUUGGUCAAUGGACGAGAGUCUGAACCAGCCAAGUCGCGUGCAGGAAGAAAUGUCCUAUGGAUUGUAAACUGCUUUUGCAGGGGAAUAAAGUGCAUCACGUGUGAUGUUUUGUAUGUACUCUGCGAAUAAGGAUCGGCUAACUCCGUGCCAGCCGCCGC